GGCCAGACAACAUAUAGGGCGAAUGAAUUAGCGGCGCGAAUCGCCCUUAGAGUUUGAUCCUGGCUCAGGACGAACGCUGGCGGCGCGCCUAACACAUGCAAGUCGAACGAGCGAGAGAGAGCUUGCUUUCUCAAGCGAGUGGCGAACGGGUGAGUAACGCGUGAGGAACCUGCCUCAAAGAGGGGGACAACAGUUGGAAACGACUGCUAAUACCGCAUAAGCCCACAGCUCGGCAUCGAGCAGAGGGAAAAGGAGUGAUCCGCUUUGAGAUGGCCUCGCGUCCGAUUAGCUAGUUGGUGAGGUAACGGCCCACCAAGGCGACGAUCGGUAGCCGGACUGAGAGGUUGAACGGCCACAUUGGGACUGAGACACGGCCCAGACUCCUACGGGAGGCAGCAGUGGGGAAUAUUGCACAAUGGGGGAAACCCUGAUGCAGCGACGCCGCGUGGAGGAAGAAGGUCUUCGGAUUGUAAACUCCUGUUGUUGAGGAAGAUAAUGACGGUACUCAACAAGGAAGUGACGGCUAACUACGUGCCAGCAGCCGCGGUAAAACGUAGGUCACAAGCGUUGUCCGGAAUUACUGGGUGUAAAGGGAGCGCAGGCGGGAAAGCAAGUUGGAAGUGAAAUCCAUGGGCUCAACCCAUGAACUGCUUUCAAAACUGUUUUUCUUGAGUAGUGCAGAGUAGGCGGAAUUCCCGGUGUAGCGGUGGAAUGCGUAGAUAUCGGGAGGAACACCAGUGGCGAAGGCGGCCUACUGGGCACCAACUGACGCUGAGGCUCGAAAGUGUGGGUAGCAAACAGGAUUAGAUACCCUGGUAGUCCACACUGUAAACGAUGAUUACUAGGUGUUGGAGGAUUGACCCCUUCAGUACCGCAGUUAACACAAUAAGUAAUCCACCUGGGGAGUACGACCGCAAGGUUGAAACUCAAAGGAAUUGACGGGGGCCCGCACAAGCAGUGGAGUAUGUGGUUUAAUUCGACGCAACGCGAAGAACCUUACCAAGUCUUGACAUCCUGCGACGGUGCUGGAAACAGUACUUUCCUUCGGGACGCAGAGACAGGUGGUGCAUGGUUGUCGUCAGCUCGUGUCGUGAGAUGUUGGGUUAAGUCCCGCAACGAGCGCAACCCUUAUGGUCAGUUACUACGCAAGAGGACUCUGGCCAGACUGCCGUUGACAAAACGGAGGAAGGUGGGGAUGACGUCAAAUCAUCAUGCCCUUUAUGACUUGGGCUACACACGUACUACAAUGGCGUUAAACAAAGAGAAGCGAGACCGCGAGGUGGAGCAAAACUCAGAAACAACGUCCCAGUUCGGACUGCAGGCUGCAACUCGCCUGCGCGAAGUCGGAAUUGCUAGUAAUCGCAGAUCGGCAUGCUGCGGUGAAUACGUUCCNCGGGCCUUGUACACACCGCCCGUC
rnacentral:rRNA from 1 species